UACGGAGGGGGCUAGCGUUGUUCGGAAUUACUGGGCGUAAAGCGCACGUAGGCGGCUUUGUAAGUUAGAGGUGAAAGCCCGGGGCUCAACUCCGGAAUUGCCUUUAAGACUGCAUCGCUAGAAUUGUGGAGAGGUAAGUGGAAUUCCGAGUGUAGAGGUGAAAUUCGUAGAUAUUCGGAAGGAACACCAGUGGCGAAGGCGACUUACUGGACACA
rnacentral:rRNA from 1 species